CAAGUUCCGUAGGGAACCUGCGGAGGGAUCAUUACAAGUGACCCCGGUCUAACCACCGGGAUGUUCAUAACCCUUUGUUGUCCGACUCUGUUGCCUCCGGGGCGACCCUGCCUUCGGGCGGGGGCUCCGGGUGGACACUUCAAACUCUUGCGUAACUUUGCAGUCUGAGUAAACUUAAUUAAUAAAUUAAAACUUUUAACAACGGAUCUCUUGGUUCUGGCAUCGAUGAAGAACGCAGCGAAAUGCGAUAAGUAAUGUGAAUUGCAGAAUUCAGUGAAUCAUCGAAUCUUUGAACGCACAUUGCGCCCCCUGGUAUUCCGGGGGGCAUGCCUGUUCGAGCGUCAUUUCACCACUCAAGCCUCGCUUGGUAUUGGGCAUCGCGGUCCGCCGCGUGCCUCAAAUCGACCGGCUGGGUCUUCUGUCCCCUAAGCGUUGUGGAAACUAUUCGCUAAAGGGUGUUCGGGAGGCUACGCCGUAAAACAACCCCAUUUCUAAGGUUGACCUCGGAUCAGGUAGGGAUACCCGCUGAACUUAAGCAUAUCAAUAA
rnacentral:misc_RNA from 1 species